rnacentral:misc_RNA from 1 species
AAAAAAAAAAAAGAAGAGAAACCUGUAUUUGAAGAGGGGAAAAAAGACACAGUAUAUGAUUGAAUGAAUGCAAGGUAUAUUACUGACUUGAGACCUAUAAAAACAGUAAAAGAAAAAUAAAAAAUGCAAUGCAGGAUGCAAAACCCUCAAUAAUAUGAUGAAGACCCCCAACCAAGUAUACCAAAGAGUGCUGCAGCUAAAAUACAACCCAACCAUGACACACAUGAUGAUGAAAUGAUAUGAUAUGAAUGAUAAAAAAGACAAAAAAAAAAG